CUUUACGACCACACCGGCCUGAGUACGCCUGAUUCGUCUUGAUCUCGGAAGCUAAGCAGGGUCGGGCCUGGUUAGUACUUGGAUGGGAGACCGCCUGGGAAUACCAGGUGCUGUAAGAU
rnacentral:rRNA from 1 species